UAUGAUCGGUAGGGUGGGGAUCCUCUCAAAGAAAGAAUGGGUGGUGGCCACGACCCAUUUGAUAUCUUCCAGUCUUUCUUUGGUGGGAGUCCCUUUGGCGGCGGUGGUAGUAGCAGAGGGAGGAGGCAGAAAAGGGGAGAAGAUGUGGUUCACCCCCUGAAGGUCUCGCUUGAAGACCUAUACCUCGAAACAU